GACGAACGCUGGCGGCGUGCUUAACACAUGCAAGUCGAACGGAAAGGCCCUGCUUUUGUGGGGUGCUCGAGUGGCGAACGGGUGAGUAACACGUGAGUAACCUGCCCUUGACUUUGGGAUAACUUCAGGAAACUGGGGCUAAUACCGGAUAGGAGCUCCUGCUGCAUGGUGGGGGUUGGAAAGUUUCGGCGGUUGGGGAUGGACUCGCGGCUUAUCAGCUUGUUGGUGGGGUAGUGGCUUACCAAGGCUUUGACGGGUAGCCGGCCUGAGAGGGUGACAGGCCACAUUGGGACUGAGAUACGGCCCAGACUCCUACGGGAGGCAGCAGUGGGGAAUAUUGCACUAUGGGCGGAAGCCUGAUGCAGCAACGCCGCGUGCGGGAUGACGGCCUUCGGGUUGUAAACCGCUUUCGCCUGUGACGAAGCGUGAGUGACGGUAAUGGGUAAAGAAGCACCGGCUAACUACGUG
rnacentral:rRNA from 1 species